rnacentral:rRNA from 1 species
AUGCUAACGGCGAAUAAACAAUUUUCUGCCAGAUCAUUAUACCACUCCCUGAUCAAAACUGAGGUGGGAUUCCCACAUAAAUUCCUCUGGAAGAUUAAAAUACCAGCAAAAACUAAAAUGUUCUUUUGGCUCAUUGCAAGGAAGAGUGUGUUAACCAAAGACAAUCUAAUAAAAAAAGGGUGGCGAGGGAGGCAGGGUUGCGUGUACUGUGGACAGGAUGAUACCAUAGAUCAUAUGUUUCUCACUUGUUCUGCUGCUAGGCUCUCUGGAGUUUGA